GCUGGCCACGCGCUCCCGGGCCUGAGGGACCCGUGCCUGGCUCGCGGCGCCGCACGCGAACCCCGACGGGGCCUUCCGUUCAGGACCACUCGGCUGGCGCAGCCGGUACGUCGAGGACAGCCCGCCGCGGGGCUUGCUGAGGAGACGCCUGCCGGCCCAGACACUGGUAGAGGUUCAUUAUCCAAGACGUUGCAGAAUGGAAUUGUAACCCUGACAUGUUGCCCUGUCACAUCUAGAAGAAACUGUUCAUCUCCAGAGAGAAAAGCGCCUUCUUAGAGCCAAUCUCCAGCAUUCAUGGAUCCCAGCUAGAGAUAUUUACUGAAGUGAGCAAGAAUUUGUAGCUGUUUGGAGCCUGAGUGGCAGAUGAAACCAGCUUGGAGACUUCUUGGAGCACAAGUAUGAGUUCCACCCCAGAGGCUGCUGCAGGGUGCCCAGGCUGCACACUGACCACCUCCACACUUGCAGAGCUGAGGGGAUCGCAGAGUAGACAUGCCAUUGCCUUGGAGCAGGGCAGUCUGCAUGGAAAACAAACAGGAUUCCUGCCUCGUCCAACUUUGGACUACACUGGAAAGCUGGUAAGGUGUGGAGUCAGUCAGAGUAGACGUUCAAUGCGAGCUGCAGGGCAGCUACACUUUGUAAGACAUGAUCUGUUUCCUCACAGAACAAUAGCCUCGUGGGUUGAUUGAACAAACAUCCCACAGAUGAGAAAUUAAAGCAGGGUAGAGUGGUCAAGGCCACUCUCUAAAUAAGCAAUUAAGGGGGCUACAACACAGGUCUCACCAUCCCCGGGUCAGGGCAGCCUAGUGCUGCACACACACAGACACUAAGCUCUAGCUUCUUCAGGCUAAGAGUUGUCUCAACCCCUGAGUUGUCGGUGUCUGCUGCCAAUGAUCUUAAAUGCAGAUUUGUCUUUGUGCUAGAGGUAGAAGUCUUAGAGUUGAGUGAGGGAGCUCCUC